CCUACGGGAGGCAGCAGUGGGGAAUAUUGGACAAUGGGCGAAAGCCUGAUCCAGCAAUGCCGCGUGAGUGAUGAAGGCCUUAGGGUUGUAAAGCUCUUUUACCAGGGAUGAUAAUGACAGUACCUGGAGAAUAAGCUCCGGCUAACUCCGUGCCAGCAGCCGCGGUAAUACGGAGGGAGCUAGCGUUGUUCGGAAUUACUGGGCGUAAAGCGUGCGUAGGCGGUGAUUCAAGUCAGAGGUGAAAGCCUGGAGCUCAACUCCAGAACGGCCUUUGAAACUAGAUCGCUAGAAUUAUGGAGAGGUAAGUGGAAUUCCGAGUGUAGAGGUGAAAUUCGUAGAUAUUCGGAAGAACACCAGUGGCGAAGGCGACUUACUGGACAUAUAUUGACGCUGAGGUACGAAAGCGUGGGGAGCAAACAGGAUUAGAUACCCUGGUAGUCCACGCCGUAAACGAUGAUAACUAGCUGUUCGGGCUCUCAGAGCUUGAGUGGCGCAGCUAACGCAUUAAGUUAUCCGCCUGGGGAGUACGGUCGCAAGNUUAAAACCUUAAAUGAAUUGACGG
rnacentral:rRNA from 1 species